UACGGAGGGGGCUAGCGUUGUUCGGAAUCAUUGGGCGUAAAGGGCUCGUAGGCGGCCGAUCAAGUCGGAUGUGAAAUCCCUCGGCUCAACUGAGGAAUUGCCUUCGAUACUGUUCGGCUUGAGUCCUGGAGAGGGUAGCGGAAUUCCCGGUGUAGCGGUGAAAUGCGUAGAGACCGGGAAGAACACCAGUGGCGAAGGCGGUUCUCUGGGACGGUACUGACGCUGAGACGCGAAAGCGUGGGGAGCGAACAGG
rnacentral:rRNA from 1 species